ensembl:lncRNA
UGUUCAAAAUGACAAAACACAAAAUAUAUAUUUUUUAAGAUUUUAUUUGCCCAAAUACUUAAAUUUGCAAGGACAUCAGAACACCCUCCGCUAUAGAAAACAUCAAUUUUUUUAAAGGAUCAGCAAUAAAGACUUUAAAGCUUUGCCGUCUUCAAUACUUCUACAAACAAACCAACGUGGGUAGACAACUGAUGAACGAAGCAGAUGAUGACAUACCCGCCAAUAAAGGACACGUGUCCGGAGACACUGGUGUAGGUUUAUCCAAAUUAAUUAGCAGCUAACAUAAAACUUCAAUAAAAAAAUAUGUACAAUAAAGAGAUAACAGAAUUCACCCCCCUUUUAAUCGGCAGUUGAGUUUUUACCAUAUCCCUUUAUGUCAGCCAAAAUUCUCAAUCGGCUUUCACAUUUCUGCCAACAAUUAUAUAAAUAUAGCACACCUUUUAUCCAAUUAUAUACGAGAUUUCGAAUGGUCAAACUCAGUAAAAUCACCACCAGACAUUUUGUCCAGCUCUCAAUCGCUCCUCAAACGGAUCAGGAAUAUGUAUAACAAAACCUGGCAAUUUCCAAUUAACUAACGACGAAAAAAGCACUUAAAAAGAAAACAGAAAUAAAUCAGUAGAGAACUUUGGAAGAAAAAUGAGAUCAAACGAUAUCUACAUUCAUGGUGUAGGGGUGAUGUCCCAGAAUGGGGGCACAGAACAGUGUGCUGCAGUCACGUCAUAUAGUAUGAACACAAUCCAGAAACGCAAACGUUAAAGCAAAGCGAUAUUCACACCUUUGUAUAUAUAUAUAUACACACGCAUACAUGUGUACGUGUGCAUGUACGGACACGCACACAGACACCUGUAAGCGUGUGUACUGCUCGAGCAUGCACACAUACACAAAAGGGAGAAAGAAAUUACAUUUAAGUGCACACGUUUUUUUUUUGGGAUAAACAGACCACAAACCGGCUUGGCUUACAGUCAUUAUCGUUAAGCCGAAAUUCAGAAAGACAAGAGAAACCAUGAAUCUGAACACAAGUUAAAAAUCAGAAAAAUCAUUAAAAAAAGUUGGAAAUUAAAUAUAAAAUAGAGGCCAAGUAGGGGGACUGACCCCAAAUCUGAUGAACAAAAAUAACUAAAAACAAAAACGGGUAAAAUGUUCAGACCAAAAACAGAAUAAAUGAACACAACCAACGUUUCGGAACACUUUGAAAUGUUUGUAAUUGCCAAAAACCAAAGGAAAAUAAAAUCCUCAACUGAAUUGUCUCACACUGUAACAAAAUACCAUCCGUGGUUGAGAAACAGAACUUACGAAGACCUAGUAACCACGGUUAACUUCCAAACGCCCGUCCACGACAGAGCGCGUCAUCGGGUUCACAUACGGGAAAGAAGAAGCCAGCUGUUUUCAAAAAGUCCAGCGACAAAGAAAGAGAAAGAGUUAAAGACAUUCAUCAUGGCUUGAUUUUUCCUGAAAAGACAACCUCUUCCAGAUCCCACAUGGCAACAACUACGUCAAUAGAAGUUGAAAAAGGACAAAAAAAAAAAAAAAAACAGGCUCUAAAAACAAAGAUUCAAGGACACAUUCUGAAGAGUGCAAUAUUUUUGUUUAUGGCCUGAAGGCGCCCCAAAACCAAGUCCCCAUCGUCGAUAUGCAGACCCCGGUCACCGCCCACGCCCCACUUCAGAUGUCAAACCGUUUUAACCUCGUCCAAAGAACCAAAAGAAAAAAACGCCAGGAGAAAAGUUAUUCACCCCGGCCAAUAAAACUCCAUUACCCAUCAGCCCCCCUGGGCUGACACCCCCUCAGCGGACCUACGAGAGGCCCCCACCCCCAGGGCAGGAGGGGUCACGUGGGGACAGGUGGUGGUGGUGCCCUCGCCCGGGGCGAGAGGGUCGAGGAAGGGGAGGGCCGUUAUCGGUGAGAGUUUGUGUGUGAGAAAUGUACGAGGCCACGCAGGAGCGCCCUCUGGUGGUGGUGGUGGGGGUGGUGGUGGAGGAGGGGGAUGGGGGGGGGCGGACAACGGGGUUGGCACAGUGGCAGAGCUCCCUGGACUCAGCUCAGUCUCUCGGACGGGGAAGGGGGAGGCGCCCCCCCCCCGCUCACUCCGUGUCCGAGUCCGAGGACGAGGCGGAACUCGAUCCGCUGCUGCUCUCCUCAGACUUGUUCUCCUUGUCCGCCGCCUCGUCCUCUUCGUCGUCCUCCUCCUCCUCUUCACUCACGUCAUCGUCGUCCUCCUCGUCUUCAUCGUCAUCAUCAUCGUCCUCCUCGCUAGACGAAUCCGCAGAGGAAGCCUUCUCCUGCUCUUCUUCGUCGUCGUCAUCCUCCUCCUCCUCUUCUUCCU